GUUUGUUUUUUGUUUUGAGAUAGGGUUUCUUUGUGUAGCCCUGGCUGUCCUGGAACUCACUGCUUAGACCAGGCUGACCUGGAACUCAGAAAUCCGCCUGCUUCUUCCUCUCAAGUGCUGGAAUUAAAGGCAUGUGCCACCACUGCCUGGCACUCUUUUAGUUUCAAGUAGGUGAGUAUUGCUUUGUCAGUACCUAAUCUCUGCAGAGAGACAUGUCUGUUAUAUUGAACUAUAUGGUUGUAUUAUAUUUGAGUCAAUUUCAUUAAUUUCUAUAUAACCCUCGAAAUAUCUGUUUAAAUUCUAUUUUUAUUUUUACAGUAUAAAAAAGGUUUAUUUUAUGUAUAUGACCACUCUCUCUGCGUGUACACCUGCACACAUGCCUGCCAGAAGAGGGCAUCAGAUCACAUUGUGCAUGGUUAUGAUCUGCCAUGUAGAUAAAGCAGUGAUGUGAGCACACUAGAUACAGUGUUGUGAGCAGUGGAGACAGCUCAGGUGAUGUAGUGAUACAAACCAUGUAAAGCAAGCAAAUCAAUAGCACCCCUCCAUGGUCUAUGUGUCAUUUCCUGUUUCCAAGAUCCUUGCAGAGCAUUUUCAGUAUUUAUACACUACAGCACAGUUGGAGAAUCAUUUAUAGAAUCCUCUUUGUCUCCUGGCACUGUAACAUGUUAGAAAACCAGAUGGAGAAUGUUUUUCUUAUAUGUUGAUCUAACUGAUUAGCCAAACUUGUACCCACUGUGAAGCAGAACAAAGACUCCUAUAAGGUAUAGAGAAAGACUGUAGCAAAGGGAUCAUGGAUAUUUUGGAGGAAUUGUGGUAGAAUCAGUGGGGAGCUCAAGUGACAGUGGAAAUGGGACGGGAGGAGCACUGCAGAGAUGUCUCAGUAGUGACCAGCACUUCCUCAUCUCAUAGAGCCAUGGGUAUAGUUCUCAGCAUCCCCUUUAUGUCCGCAAACAAUUUUUGCUUUCCGUUCCGAGAGAUCUGAUGCCUUCUUUGGACCUCAUCAGCCACCAUGUACAAACACAGAUCUCAUACAUACAUGGUGCAAAACACUCUUACUCAUAAUCUAGAAUAAAAACAUUGUAAACAAUUUUUAAAGCAGUGAGAUCAAAUGUGAAAUGAAAUUGUUUUUGCCCCAUUCAGUUUAUAUAGAAAUGGUUUUGGAAUAUUCUACUGUGAAUCAUCUCAUGAUUAGCCUAUUGCACACAUUACUGACUUUCUGUGUAAUAAUUAAUACUAACAGAAAAUACACUUUAUUUGACUGCAUGUGUAUGAUGAUAUCCUUAUUCCAUUAGUAUCACUUUUUUGGUGUACAUAUCAAUAAUAUCUAAAUUUAAUUACCUUCAUUUAAGCAUUAUUGCCUCAAGGUUUCUUUCCUGAUCUUUUAACUUUGAAGGCUUCAAUAUUUUCUUUUGUGGUCAGUUUCCCUUUUACUGAUACAAUGCUAGCAGGACCUUGAUAAGGAUUGUUUAGUAUAUCUACAGAAUGGGAAACUGUCUUAUCUUACCAUUGAUUUCUCCUGUUGUUUCUUAAUGGUUUCAACUGAAAUAAUUUUGAUUUUGAAAUCUUGGUUUAAUAUUUUGAAGGUCUUGAAUGGUAUGUGCUUUCUCAAAAUUCUACGUGUAGUCAGGUUUACCUUGUUCAUAAACACAUUGCUUUGAAUCUUUACAAAUCAGAAACCUUGUCAGUGUUUCCGUGUUUGGAAGAGAACAUGCUACCCUUGUGUCAUGUCAUGUCUGUAAUUUGUUUUGAUAUGCUGUUACUGUUAAGUAUAUGCUGAUCACUGAGUAUUUAUCAGUUCAGGAAUGUACAGGAAGACAUUAUUUCAUACAAAACCGCCUGUGAUAGUUGAAAC
rnacentral:lncRNA from 1 species